UAGGGAGCAAGCGUUAUCCGGAUUUACUGGGUGUAAAGGGCGCGUAGGCGGGAUGGCAAGUCAGAUGUGAAAUCCAAGGGCUCAACCCUUGAACUGCAUUUGAAACUGUCGUUCUUGAGUACUGGAGAGGUUGACGGAAUUCCUAGUGUAGCGGUGAAAUGCGUAGAUAUUAGGAGGUACACCAGUGGCGAAGGCGGUCAACUGGACAGCAACUGACGCUGAGGCGCGAAAGCGUGGGGAGCAAA
rnacentral:rRNA from 1 species